CUUCCGCGCGGGGACGGGACCGGGGCGCGGGGGGCACCCGGAGUGGGGCGGGGACUCACCCUUUAGCUGCUCGGGUCCUUGACCGCUUCGCACAGGUGGGCACCAAUCUUACUGACAUCGUGGCACAGAGAAAGAUCACCAUCCGGGAGCUUGGGGGGUGCAUGGGCCCCAUCUGGUCCAGUUACUAUGGAAACUGCCGUUCUCUCCUGGUGGGUUGUAAUCCUAUAUGGGCUUCCUUUAGGGAAGUGUGUCUACAUUUCUGUGACGUCCAGUCCCCAACCUUGCUGUGUGUAGAAAGGGGUUUGGGUUAUUUAGUGACUAUACUACUCAUGGAAAUAGGUCUUAGCUAGUGUUGCUUCCUGCUGGGCACCCUGUCUGGUUUCUGGUGCUUGCGCUCCCAGGCCCCCGGUAGGAGCUCACAGAGGGCUUGCUGAGGGCAGGGCUGCUGCUCCGCAGAGAACAGACUUGGCCCUCUGUGUCACUCCCCGGUACGUCUGUGUUUAUGUUGGACUUAUACGUACCUCUGGUUGGUCUCAU
rnacentral:lncRNA from 1 species